AGGUAAAAUGUUUUCUCUUCUCUCCUGUGUGAGUUCUCAUGUGUUUCUUCAGGGUUCCACUAUAAGUGAAAGCUUUACCGCACUCAGAGCAGCUGAAAGGCUUCUCUCCUGUGUGAGUUCUCAUGUGUUUUUGUAAAUGUCCACUCUGUGUAAAAUAUUUCUUACAAACUGAGCAGCUAAAAGGUUUUUCUCCUGUGUGACUUAUCAUGUGUGUCUUCAGAUGUGACUUGAAGCCAAAUCUUUUCCCACACUUAGAGCA